GGGGGUGAACGGUUUCGACAACGUUUGCUGAAAAGAGUGAAGCGGGUCGAGGAUCAACGGUUAUCUCGUAAACGCUCCGUUGAAAAAAACAAGUGCCAAUUCAAACAGCACUGGUGCCUCAGCUCAGGCUGAGCUCACUCUCGCUGCCUAGUCAGCGAAAGUGAUUACCCGUCGGUCCAUGGGCGUCUUCCCUGUGGGUACCGGCGUCGACUAGAAGACUUACCAAUCGCUCCGGUCAUCGGGAGUGCGCGGGACAUUAAACAGUGACUAGGCCGCUUUUCCCGUCGGGUCGCACAACAGCGGGAAGGCCAAACAGGCGAUUAAAGCGACUGCACCCGGAGAAGCCUCUGCUUGGUUACGUUGGACCCGAGUUCGAUUCUCGGCACCUCCACAA
rnacentral:tmRNA from 1 species